rnacentral:rRNA from 1 species
AGUGAACGCUGGCGGUAGGCCUAACACAUGCAAGUCGAACGGCAGCACAGUAAGAGCUUGCUCUUACGGGUGGCGAGUGGCGGACGGGUGAGGAAUACAUCGGAAUCUACUUUUUCGGGGGGGAUAACGUAGGGAAACUUACGCUAAUACCGCAUACGAUCUACGGGAGAAAGCAGGGGAUCUUCGGACCUUGCGCGAUUGAAUGAGCCGAUGUCGGAUUAGCUAGUUGGCGGGGUAAAGGCCCACCAAGGCGACGAUCCGUAGCUGGUCUGAGAGGAUGAUCAGCCACACUGGAACUGAGACACGGUCCAGACUCCUACGGGAGGCAGCAGUGGGGAAUAUUGGACAAUGGGCGCAAGCCUGAUCCAGCCAUACCGCGUGGGUGAAGAAGGCCUUCGGGUUGUAAAGCCCUUUUGUUGGGAAAGAAAAGCAGCAGGUUAAUACCCCGCUGUUCUGACGGUACCCAAAGAAUAAGCACCGGCUAACUUCGUG